GAUGAACGCUGGCGGCGUGCCUAACACAUGCAAGUCGAGCGAUUUACUUCGGUAAAGAGCGGCGGACGGGCGAGUAACGCGUGGGUAACCUGCCCUGUACACACGGAUAACAUACCGAAAGGUAUGCUAAUACGAGAUAAUAUACUUUUAUCGCAUGGUAGAAGUAUCAAAGCUUUUGCGGUACAGGAUGGACCCGCGUCUGAUUAGCUAGUUGGUAAGGUAACGGCUUACCAAGGCGACGAUCAGUAGCCGACCUGAGAGGGUGAUCGGCCACAUUGGAACUGAGACACGGACCAAACUCCUACGGGAGGCAGCAGUGGGGAAUAUUGCACAAUGGGCGAAAGCCUGAUGCAGCAACGCCGCGUGAGCGAUGAAGGCCUUCGGGUCGUAAAGCUCUGUCCUCAAGGAAGAUAAUGACGGUACUUGAGGAGGAAGCCCCGGCUAACUACGUGCCAGCAGCCGCCGCAGUAA
rnacentral:rRNA from 1 species